CCGAUGGUCGAUUUUUUACUCCACAUCGGAGUAGAUUACACCCAGACACUUUAGAGGCAUUGAUGUGUGUUCAAGAUUGGCUAUGGAGUGACAUACAAGGUUCUUCAAAAUUGAAAGUGGAUAACAAGAAGCUUAAUACAAUACUAGAGGAGAUAAUUGAUGAUGAUGAAUUAAGUGGUCAAAAUGAAGAUGUGGGAGAACAAACAUAAAUCUUGAAGUGUUAUUUUUAGAACAAUUAUUUGAAUUUAUGUUUUAAUUUGUACUAAUUUGAAUUAAUUUGUAUUAAUUUGAA